rnacentral:rRNA from 1 species
AAGUCGAGCGGAUGAGUGGAGCUUGCUCCAUGAUUCAGCGGCGGACGGGUGAGUAAUGCCUAGGAAUCUGCCUGGUAGUGGGGGACAACGUUUCGAAAGGAACGCUAAUACCGCAUACGUCCUACGGGAGAAAGUGGGGGAUCUUCGGACCUCACGCUAUCAGAUGAGCCUAGGUCGGAUUAGCUAGUUGGUGAGGUAAAGGCUCACCAAGGCGACGAUCCGUAACUGGUCUGAGAGGAUGAUCAGUCACACUGGAACUGAGACACGGUCCAGACUCCUACGGGAGGCAGCAGUGGGGAAUAUUGGACAAUGGGCGAAAGCCUGAUCCAGCCAUGCCGCGUGUGUGAAGAAGGUCUUCGGAUUGUAAAGCACUUUAAGUUGGGAGGAAGGGCAGUAAGUUAAUACCUUGCUGUUUUGACGUUACCAACAGAAUAAGCACCGGCUAACUUCGUGCCAGCAGCCGCGGUAAUACGAAGGGUGCAAGCGUUAAUCGGAAUUACUGGGCGUAAAGCGCGCGUAGGUGGUUCGUUAAGUUGGAUGUGAAAGCCCCGGGCUCAACCUGGGAACUGCAUCCAAAACUGGCGAGCUAGAGUAUGGCAGAGGGUGGUGGAAUUUCCUGUGUAGCGGUGAAAUGCGUAGAUAUAGGAAGGAACACCAGUGGCGAAGGCGACCACCUGGGCUAAUACUGACACUGAGGUGCGAAAGCGUGGGGGAGCAAACAGGAUUAGAUACCCUGGUAGUCCACGCCGUAAACGAUGUCGACUA